rnacentral:rRNA from 1 species
AUGGCGCAGGUGAUCUUGUGGGCCGAUGGCAGCCUAGCCCCAAACCCCGACGGCGGCGAGUCCUUCGCCAAGUUCUUCGAGUGGUGGAUCUUGGAGCAGUCCCGUGACUUGGCCGCGCUUCGCGCCACGGCGACGGCGCAGCCCGACGACGCUGACCCCCGGCGCCUCGUCGACCGUGUCCUCAGCCACAACGAGCACUACUACCGCGCCAAGUCCGCGGCCGCCUCCGCCGACGUGCUCCUCAUGUUCGCGCCCUCGUGGAUCUCCGUCACCGAGAGCCUCUACCUCUGGUGCGGCGGCUGGCGCCCCACUGCAGCGAUCCAGCUGCUCUAUUCCAAGUCCGGCGUGCAGCUCGAGUCCCAGCUCCCGGCCUUCCUCGAAGGCGGCAGCCUCUCCGCCGAGCAGCUCCUACUCCACCCGGCCGCCGCGCGCUCCUACUCCGCCCGGCACGGCCACACGCGCUCCUCCUCCGCCCUGGCCAUGCGGACGCCGUCCCGUCCGCUCCCUGGCCUCGCCGUCUCCCGUCCGGACGAGCUCCCGCGGCGUCAGCGACGAGCUGUCGCGGCUUCGGACGCGCGCGCGCGAGCAGGCAGGUAG